UCAAACUUGGUCAUUUAGAGGAAGUAAAAGUCGUAACAAGGUUUCCGUAGGUGAACCUGCGGAAGGAUCAUUAACAAAUCCAGUGUCCUGCUUCAUGCCCUGCAUGUCUCAGUCACACAUGUUCCAUGUGCAUUGUAUCCACUCUGCAUGUGAUUACAUUUCUGCUUGAUUGUCUGAUUGUGACUAUUGAAAUGAUACAAUAAUGACUUUUAACAAUGGAUCUCUAGGCUCUUGCAUCGAUGAAGAACGCAGC
rnacentral:misc_RNA from 1 species